UGUGGGAGCGGGCUUGCUCGCGAUUCAGGCACCGCGGCUCUACAGGUGAACCGCGCUGAUACCAUCGCGAGCAAGCCCGCUCCCACA
rnacentral:misc_RNA from 1 species